UGGGGGCUUCUUGAAGGUUGACAUGACACCCCGCCCCCCGGGUGGCAGGAAGACAGUGCUAAACUCCCAGGAGCCAGGUGUGAGGUUGGAGGCGGCAUUCCUUUGCAUCAAUGUCAGGGAUCCCAGGUUAGACCCAGCCUGGGAUCUCCAGAGCGGAGAAUGCUAAAAAUGCAGAAGGAAGGGGGCGAUCCAAACCCACAGUGCCUCUGAUGCAGACAGCGAGGGGGCAUUCUAGGGGAGCAGCCAGGAGCCCCUCCUGAGACAGAAAAGCCAGGUUGUCCCUGGAGCCUCAGAGAAAGAGCAACAAGUAGUCCCCUCCCCCGCCCCCACAUAGCUGUCGGGAUAGUCUGUAUUUGAAAGAGAAAGACAACUGGGACUCCAGCUCCAGGCCCUCUCCUACAGGAAGACUUCCUGGAUUAAUCUGCUAAUCUUCAGCUCAUCCACCUAUUUAAUAGGUGAUUGGAGAACGGUUGAUAUCUCUAGCAGACAUCAUUUGCCCAGAGCAGUGUUUACCUGUUAGUGUCACCAUCCCUUCCCGGAGACCAGGGUCAAACACACUCCUCAUGCUGUUCUGCUUCCUGUCCAUGGCCUUAAGGUCUUCUCAAAGUCUUCUGAAGCAGCUCUUGACUAAAGCUUUCCAAGAGGGCAAAACCUACGGUACCAGUCCACACUGAGUGGACCUCUGGGGCUCCCAACUGCCGAUUGACUUGAACCCCAGAGUGAACUCGUGUUGCUUUGUGGCUUUAGGAAACCUUGUAACAUCUCUGUGCUGUUUUUUCAUAUGUGCUAAAUCAUUCCUGAGGCCUCCUCCUCCUGCUGCAGUUUGACAAGCCUUGACCAAAUCAUAAACUCCCAGUUAAUGGGAUAAAAAUGAGCUUGAAUCUGGGAUUCUGGUCGUUAACCCCAUGUCACCAUCUGGUCCAGCAGUUUGAUGGCAGGGCUAGGUGAAUUCUAAUCACCCAACACUUGUUAAACUGCAGAUUCCUGCUUCCCCACCCCUGCUGACUCAGCAUCUCUGGGGUGGGGCCUACAAAGGCUCUCUUCCUUGAUGGGGUUAUUGAGGGCAGCUCUGGUAACCCACCCAGGACCAGACCUGAUGAGGAGUUUCUCCUAUGCAUCAGGCACGCCGGGUCUGUUUGCGGAGUUUCAUACUUGGAUUUUCCUCUGCCUGGAGAGUUCCUUGCAGCUGGCUUCUUCUGUGUCAUGGCCCCAGAGAGGUCUUGGCUGGUCUCCCUAUCUCCACCCUCCACCAUGCUCACUAUUCCAUUACAAGUUUCCUUUUCUACCCAGUACUAAUCAUUUUCUGCAGUUCAUCUCAUCUCCUUGUGAACUAUCUGUUGGUCCCACCAGAAAGUAAGUCUCCACCUAGGGGCAGAGACCCUGCCUGGCUUGUUAGAAGCUAUAUCCCCAGGAUUGAAGCAUAUGAGAGAUGCUCAGAAAUAUAAAAAUUAAUGAACAAAUGAACUCAUGAGUGAAUUCGUUCAGCUCUGAUGCUGAGGUUCCCCCUCUGAGAUGAAAGAAUGGGGGACCUUCUAAUCCUGGGGAACCUGGGGCCUGCCCUGAGCCUGGUUCCUGAGGCAGGUGAGAGGCACCUCCUACCACUCAACCCCGUCGAUUGUUACCCCCGCCACCCAGGGAAGACCUCACUGGAGCCAGAGUCAGUGUAGGGGGCAAGAGGAGUCUGUGCACCCAGAGAAUCUUGGCUGAGGUUGCCUGAUUUAAAAAAUCCUGACUUCAGGAGCUAUUGACCAAGUACUCCUUAGCUUCAUUGCCUACAAAACCACAGGUGCAGGUGAAAGUUGACAUUAGGUAUGAACUGAAUACUGUUUAGCUACCCUAUUCAAAAAAUUGUUUUUGUUUGUUUGUUGAGACAGGGUCUCACUCUAUCACUCAG